GUCUCAACUCGGUUGACUAUCUCUGUUCCAUAUAUCUCAACCUCUAGCUGGCAAGAAGUCUAAUGGGAACUAAUGUUAUUCUAAUGGGAAGACAAGAGUGGAGAAAGCAUAAACAUCAAGCAGCUUUUAGUCAUAGGUUUGUUUCUAGUUUGCUGUUGGUCUAUUGGCCAAAACAACUCAUGGGGCCAAACCCAAAGUCCAGGUAGGAGGGCAAUACAAAAGGCAUAAAUGGAGGAAUAUGUGAGAGAUUGGAGCCUAACCAAAUCACUUUUCCAUAAUCUUUCUUCUGGCCACAGGUAUUUAUAUCUCUUCCGUGUGCUUAAUAGCUGUUACUACUAUUCAAUUCCCCUUCAAUGAUCCAUAUGAUCAUUCAUCAUUGCACUGGACUUAGAGCUUAGGAACUCAUCAUUUAAAAGAGGUCCAGAUAUAGCUUCCCUUUAUCCAAGGACCUAUAAACUAAAAAGACAAGUUAACUAUCCUCCAACUCUUCACAUGCUCAUAUGAUAAUGAAAGAAAUACAAAAUAGCUGCAGUAGGCCACCCCACAUAAAAAGUAGAAGGUUGGGAUGCACACAACCUUUAAUAAAGAUACUAAUUAUUCUCAGCAAACUAACACAGGAACAGAAAACCAAACACUGUAUGUUCUUACUAAUAAGUGGGAGCUGAACAAUGAGAACACAUGAACACAGGGAGGGAAACAUCAAACACUGAGGCCUGUCGGAGGGCUGGGGGCUAGGGGAAGGAUAGCAUUAGGAGAAAUAUUUAAUGUAGAUGAUGGGCUGACGGGUGCAGC